AACGAACGCUGGCGGCAGGCUUAACACAUGCAAGUCGAACGCCCCGCAAGGGGAGUGGCAGACGGGUGAGUAACGCGUGGGAAUCUACCCAGUUCUACGGAACAACUGAGGGAAACUUCAGCUAAUACCGUAUACGCCCCAAGGGGGAAAGAUUUAUCGGAAUUGGAUGAGCCCGCGUUAGAUUAGCUAGUUGGUGGGGUAAUGGCCUACCAAGGCGACGAUCUAUAGCUGGUCUGAGAGGAUGAUCAGCCACACUGGGACUGAGACACGGCCCAGACUCCUACGGGAGGCAGCAGUGGGGAAUAUUGGACAAUGGGCGCAAGCCUGAUCCAGCCAUGCCGCGUGAGUGAUGAAGGCCUUAGGGUUGUAAAGCUCUUUCAGUAGGGACGAUAAUGACGGUACCUACAGCAGAAGCCCCGGCUAACUUCGUGCCAGCCGCCGCCGUAAUAC
rnacentral:rRNA from 1 species